UUCAGGUGAGUGCCAUCUUCCAGAACUUUCUCCACGGAAGAAAAAGCGAGUUUUCAUAAAGAUACAACCAAAGAUAAAGAUAAAAACCAAAGUACAAACAGCCUGGGCCAUGGGGACUACCGGCUCAAAGCUCGGUCGGGCGUAUGACCGUCAGAACAACAGUUUUUAAAGUUGGACAUUCAAGUCCAAGGCUGACUCGACCAUGGAGCCAAGACUGUUCGGGCUUUACGAGGUUGGAAACCCCUACGAGCGGCUGGAGUACUCCUACUAGACUCGGAACUGGCUUUUCUUCUGCUCCAUGUAACCUUGACGAUGCAGCAAUGACUCCCGCUCCUAAACAACAGAAGAGACAAACCUAGUUUCUGGUGCGAAAACACCCUGUGACGGACCCAAGACCAAAUCUUCUGGACCGCACCCAGUUAGAGCACCAGAAGCUGUGGAGAGAAGAGUCCAAGCCAGCCAACAAAGCUAUUGAAGCAUUACCCCCCCCCCCCCCCCUC